AUGAACGCUGGCGGCUUGCCUAAUACCUGCAAGUCGCGCGAACAGACGAGGAGCUUGCUCCUCUGACGUUAGCGGCGGACGGGUGAGUAACACGUGGAUAACCUACCUAUAAGACUGGGAUAACUUCGGGAAACCGGAGCUAAUACCGGAUAAUAUAUUGAACCGCAUGGUUCAAUAGUGAAAGACGGUUUUGCUGUCACUUAUAGAUGGAUCCGCGCCGCAUUAGCUAGUUGGUAAGGUAACGGCUUACCAAGGCAACGAUGCGUAGCCGACCUGAGAGGGUGAUCGGCCACACUGGAACUGAGACACGGUCCAGACUCCUACGGGAGGCAGCAGUAGGGAAUCUUCCGCAAUGGGCGAAAGCCUGACGGAGCAACGCCGCGUGAGUGAUGAAGGUCUUCGGAUCGUAAAACUCUGUUAUUAGGGAAGAACAAAUGUGUAAGUAACUAUGCACGUCUUGACGGUACCUAAUCAGAAAGCCACGGCUAACUACGUG
rnacentral:rRNA from 1 species